rnacentral:tRNA from 2 species
GGGUCGUUAGCUCAGCGGUAGAGCAGCGGACUUUUAAUCCGUUGGUCGAAGGUUCAAAUCCCUCACGACCCACCA